rnacentral:rRNA from 1 species
UUGUCGUCAGCUCGUGUCGUGAGAUGUUGGGUUAAGUCCCGCAACGAGCGCAACCCUUGUCUUUAGUUGCCAUCAUUAAGUUGGGCACUCUAGGGAGACUGCCAGGGAUAACCUGGAGGAAGGUGGGGAUGACGUCAAAUCAUCAUGCCCCUUAUGCUUAGGGCUACACACGUGCUACAAUGGGUAGUACAGAGGGUUGCCAAGCCGUAAGG